ensembl:lncRNA
AUGGAGUCCCACUGUGACACAUGGAGCCUUCACUCCCUCUCUCUGUACUGGAGGCUCUUGGCAGUUGUCCAGAGCGGUUCGUUGUCAAGAUUUUGGCUGCAGUCAGUGGAAAGGUCAACCCAGGCGGUGAGGACAGUGUUUUUUUUACCAAAUCAACAUUCAUCUUUCUAUGAUAUGGUUUGGUUUCCAUGGAAACUGCACUGGAAUUAUUUCACUCUUUUCCCAACAGUAAAAUCCACUGGAGGUGAUGCAGCACAUCGUGUCUGAGGACGACUGUUUGUGUUCAGUGUUGUGUGUGUGUCUGUGUGUGUGCGUCUGUCUGUGGGGGAGAGAAAAAGACAACACACAGUCACAAAGUUUUCAAUCCAAUGACUUUAAAGAACUUCAGCCACAAAUUCACUGGUGAAGAGGCACUUUGAGCUGCAUGUUCAUGGACGUAAUACCAAACAGAUAACGUUUAACACACACACACACGUUUAAUUGUGAAUCUUCAUCUCCAAAAUAUUCCACACUCAUGCUCAACUUUCUGCCUCCACUUUCUAACACUAUCUGACCCUUUUCACCAAAAAACAUUUCUGAAUACAAGUCUUAGUUCAGCCUUUUUGACCACCACACGCUGAAUGAACCUCAGCUCGCUCACUUGCCUGAAGUUAUUUCUUAACUUUAGCCCGACCCUGCGGCCCACCCGAGUCAAUUUCAGAUGGAACGAAGGACCAGAAAUGCCUCACCUUUCUAUUUCUGUGAAGACAUUCAGUUCUUAAUAUUCCAGAAGUACACAGAAACACGCACACACACAGACAGACAUUUCACCACACAGGCUGAGCUUCCUCUACUGUAAGUGGUUACCAUAGAUACCACAUGGCGAGGCUCAUGAAGUACAGUGAGUCCCUCUCACGUGGGAGCUAUCGUGUAUUUAUAGAAGCACUGUGGUGCGGCCAGGAACGAGUUUAGACAAUCAAAUUUUGGGGCAAUAACAAGCAGUGCUGUAGCUGGUGAGAUGUAAUGUGAGCAACAUUCUACUUGUACUUGACUUCCUUCUUUUUUCUGCAGCUCUUUAUUAUUUAAUCGCCCUCCCAGCAUGCCUUUGUGUACGUCAGUCUCUGUCUCUCCACAGACCGAUUCUAGGACUCGCGCUGAGAGAAAAGCUUGACAAAAGCUUGACAAAAGCUCCCAUUUCUAGUUCUGCCGUCUCAGAGCUCUUCCUGCAAAAGGUCAGCAAGUUUUUGGAAGUUUAUUGUGAUAAUCUGCUAGCUCUGCACCAAGCUGCGUGUUAUUGGGAAUCAAAUACGCAGUACAUAUCAUGACAUGUUUAAUUAAAUCCUAUUUAGCUGAAUAAUGAACUAAUUAACAAACUCCUACUGAAGGGGUUUUUUCUUCUUCUUCGAAACACAUUGGAUUUCGAAGUAUGUCCCCUUAUCUUCCCAAAGUAAUUGCACUUCCUAAACUGACAUAAUUGAAUUGCCACCCAGUCUCGCGCAUGAGGUGUAUUGUUCUAAAGGGAUGAAGCAUACGCAUUUACAAUCCAUUAUAAUCACUGAGCCUUCAUCUCAAUUCAGACUAAAGUUUAAUAAUGGUUCACUGAUUAUGUUUUGUAGAAAUAUUGUCUAUAAGACAUUAGGGUCUAUUAUUUAACAUUGUCCCAAUGACACGCACUUUAAAAAGUAAUGGCGAGGUACACGGAUGCACGAUUUCGGCUAAAUCGAAUAGAGAAUGAGAUGUCAGGAGAUGUCGGCUUUAACGGGGUAAUCAAUAAGACAGGUGAAAGGAUUCACCUGAGCCUAUAUUGACUUUCCGUAAGUAGGACUAAUAUCUGUUAUAUGCAAUGAUGUGCUUUUGCACAGCGCCCAUUGUAUCCAGUCCAACCAUCUGCCUCCCUGCUCUCCGGAGUACUUAUGUUUGGCUGCGUGCCUGACAGAGCAUUUACUUCAAGGCUUGGUAUCCAGGAAGACAGUGAUCCGGUCAGGAAGACAGGCGUCACAUUUUAAUAGCUGUCUAUAAGUCAGUCACUCAUGCCGCCCUUCAGAAUAUGCAUCCGGCUACGCAGGACACCAUUCUACAAACAGGCCAUUUAUCCAGUCAGUCAGUCAGACAAUCACCCAGCCAACAAGCUUGGAUUGUAAUCACUGUACCAAACGGACAAGAAUGACACUGCUGCAUGCAGGAACCCACACACGCAUGUGGGUGCUCACAAAGAAUCCCCAUUUCGGCCACAGCAGACGUCUCUAAUAAAGAACAAUACGGCUUCAUGGAGAUUGAAUUGGAUGGUGCAUGUGACAAGCUUGAAAAGCAGAGAUUAAUAAUGACUGCACGGGUGUUCCCAGUGCGUGAUACGUACAAUCCAUGGAGGGGGGAUUAAAGAGUAAUGGCUCCUGUCUGUGUUAUGUGAACAUGAACGCCACAUAAAUGGGUCUCUGACUGACCGUGAUGUGAGAAGUCGUUGAACGCUGCGUGAGACGUUUACACCAAUCGGGGAGAGAGAUAGUUUUCGUCCCGAGUCAUGCAGGAGCCCGUCUGUCGCCGGCAGAGUGAAUCAGGUCAGGCGUCCGUCAUGGUCAGACGAGCUGACCUCAUGGUUGAUAAGUUGAUCCCGACAUUAUGGUGAGAUUACUUUGUCCACCAGCCGGGCAACGGGAAUCUUCAUUUGUUCACAAAUUAUAUAAAUUUGUCUCAAUUGCCAAUGUGCCGCUGCUGAAUACUGCUGCUGCUACUUGAUGACACUGAUACCUCUAUGUCCACCUUUACUACUAUUCCUACGGCUAUUCAGCCCAUACCACCACUCCUACUUCUUCUGUUGCUUUAACUCUUGGUCGGCUGCCGUGGAUCCCGAGAAAGAAAAAACAAACAUCUAAAGUUCUUUGGUUUGAUCUUCCAGUACAUCUAUUAGGGAUAAGUAUGUAUCUCACCAACACACCAGCAUCAAGAAACUCAAUUCAUGGGAAGUGCAUGUGAAUUGUUGUGACUCUUCGAGCUUUAGUAUUUAGGGCUAAAUAGCUAAAUAGUAUUAACCAUGAUUUUUCUGUUCAUGCGGUUAUUUAUACCCUUUGAAUGCUUGCGUUCGAUGUGAAAGUCCUUUGUUGUUUUAUACAUAUCAUUUAAAUCAUCAUUUUGAGAUCGUUAUAUAACUUGUGUUUUGAGUAGAACCAGACCAGAGUUAAA